rnacentral:rRNA from 1 species
AGCGAACGCUGGCGGCAGGCUUAACACACGCAAGUCGAACGGUCCUUCGGGAUAGUGGCGGACGGGCGAGUAACACGUGGGAACGUACCCUUAGGUUCGGAACAACACAGGGAAACUUGUGCUAAUACCGGAUAAGCCCUUCGGGGGAAAGAUUUAUCGCCUUUGGAGCGGCCCGCGUCUGAUUAGCUUGUUGGUGAGGUAAUGGCUCACCAAGGCUACGAUCAGUAGCUGGUCUGAGAGGAUGGCCAGCCACACUGGGACUGAGACACGGCCCAGACUCCUACGGGAGGCAGCAGUGGGGAAUCUUGCGCAAUGGGCGAAAGCCUGACGCAGCCAUGCCGCGUGGAUGAUGAAGGUCUUAGGAUUGUAAAAUCCUUUCACCGGGGACGAUAAUGACGGUACCCGGAGAAGAAGCCCCGGCUAACUUCGUGCCAGCAGCCGCGGUAA